AAGUCGUAACAAGGUAACCGUAGGUGAACCUGCGGUUGGAUCAUUAAUGAAUUAUGGCUCAACGUGUAGUUGGGUCUAAUCAGGGGUGAGUCCUGAAGAGUUGAAAAACUUGAAGGGAUUCCCUCGCUUACCACUGUGAACUGUUGGGAAAAGGACUAUUAACUUAGGACUUUUUCCGACUACCCAAACAUAAAGUCAUUAGAAACUAGUCUUAAUGAAAACAACUUAAAGUUGAAACAACUUUUGACAACGGAUCUCUUGGCUCUC
rnacentral:misc_RNA from 1 species